ensembl:lncRNA
UUUUCAUCCAUAUUUUUCUCCCUCCUCCCUCCAUCCCUCUGUUCUUCCAUUCAUCCGUCCCUCCCUUCUGAUUUUCUCUGCACUCCUCCCCUGCACUGAUAGUUGAGAAGGCAGAAGAACAAGCCCCAGUCCUUACAGUUAGGCAGCCAACUACACCCGUGACCUGAUUUAGACAAAGCCGGAUCUUUGUGCAAGUCCAGCUUGGCGCCCAGGGCUGGCACUCUUUGAUUGGCAGAAAGCUGGGCCCUCUUUGAAGCCCUGGGUUCUUUUAAGCCCGGGUUCGUUAUUAUUGUUAGUGAGGGGGACUCCUUUUGGUUUGUCCUGUGGAGCUCGCGUUCUCAGGCAGCCAUCCCUCAGUGCAACCAGCAAAUACGGGAUGUUAGCUAGAACGCUGCCCCAGAAUGUUCCCCGCUUCUCAUUGCUCGGUCAUUUCACUGGUGACCUCCUCUUGUGAUCCCUUCUGAGGGUUUUUUCUGGGCAAAGCUACGAGAGAGGUUGGCCAUUUCCUUCUUCAUUUUUCAGACAGUGAAGUCUUGACUUGACCAGGGGCACACAGCCAGGGAGGGUCUCAGGGCAAACCCAAACGAUGUCCCUCCUGUGUGUUAUCGGUUGGCCAUUAUUCAGGCCUUUGGAUCGGCCAUCCAGUUUACUGUGGGAUCCUGGAAGGAGUUCCCCAUCUGGGCCUCAGUUUCCCCAUUUGCUGGUCCCGAGGAUGCUUUUAAAUCUGUGAUUCUAAGAUUCGGAGCUUCCCCUUCUUGAAGAUGAGCUGCGGUCUGCACACGCAUACACACCCGCCUAGACAUCCGUAGGGACGCGAGCACACGCAUAUACAUACAUACACACGUUUCUCAAGCCCCGGCCACCCCUUCCCAGCAUGCUCCUCAGUGCGUUUGGGGUCUCCUGAGCGUGCUGGGAGUCACCUCCCUCUGACCAGAAGCCCUCACUGAGCUACUUCCUUCCUUGUCUCUCCAGGUCACACCUCAGGGGGCUGGGGGGACCCUGCCAUUGUCCCCAGCUUCCAGCAGUCUGAGCACAACAGUUACUACCUUGUCCUCAGCUGUGGGGACCCUCCACCCCAGUCGGACAGCCGGAGGGGGCAGCAGUGGGGGUGGGGCCGUGACCCCCCUCAACUCUAUCCCCUCCAUCACCCCCCCACCCCCCGCCACCACCAACAGCACAAAUCCCAGCCCCCAAGGCAGCCACUCGGCCAUCGGCCUGUCGGGCCUGAACCCCAGCACAGGCGCUGGCCUCUGGUGGAACUCUGCCCCUUACCAGCCUUGAUGCCAGCGGGAACCUGGUCCUGGGGGCAGCCGGGGGCGCCCCCGGGAGCCCGGGCAUCGUGACCUCCCCGCUCUUCCUGAACCACGCCGGAUUGCCCCUGCUCAGCGCCCCGCCAGGGGUGGGCCUUGUGUCGGCCGCCGCGGCCGCCGUGGCGGCCUCCAUCUCCACCAAGUCCCCGGGCCUCUCCUCCUCCUCCUCUUCCUCCUCCUCCUCCUCUUCCUCCUCCUCCUCCUCUUCCUCCUCCUCCUCUUGCAUCGAGACAGCAGCACAGACCCCCGGGGGGCCUGAGGCAGGGGCCAAAUCCGAAUGAGAGCACCCUCCGCCUUCUCCUGCCUCCUCCCCCUCGGCCCCGCUGCUCCCCCCCCCCCGCCUGGGGGGGCUGGUGGUCGGGGCCAGCGGCGGGGGAUUAAGGUGAGGACCCCGGAGCUGGAGGAAACACCAAAAAAAUAACCCCAGAAAGAAAAAACCAAACAAAAAAUAGAGUAAAGCCAAAUAGAACCGCCACAACCAGCCGCCCAGAAUGAGCCGGGGCGAACAGAAGAAACCAAAAAACGAAACCAAAAAACCCAGUCCAGAGCCAGACCUCAGUGCGCUCGCCGCUCGCCGCUGGACCACCCGACCGCCCGGAGCCUCCGCCGCCGCCCGGGCCAGAGGAGGAGGGGAGCGCGGCGCGCCCCGGGGGGAGGGGAGGAAGGUGGGGCGGGCGGGGGCCAGGGGAGGGAACAACUGUGGAUUUUUCUUUUCCAGAAACCAAAAGAGACAGGGCCCAGAACCUCACACCAAAUAGCCGGUAGCUUCAUCCAAAGGCCUGUAUAGAACUGGUAGCGUUUCUUGUGCUCCCCCGAAUGUGUCCCCCGUCCCAUCACCCGGCCUCGGGGUGGGGGGAGGGGAACUGUCCGAACUGCCUUUUUUUUUUGUUUUUUUGUUUUUAACAGAGGGAGAGUAAAAGGGGAGCGGGGCGGGGAGAGACUCCCCCGCUCUCCUGCGCUCUUCCCCAUCUCCUUGGGUGUGGGGGUCCGGCCGGUUGGCCACGCGAGUCCCACGGGCUCUCCCCCGGUCCCUCUGGUUCUGUGCUUAGGGAGUGAGGUCUGGGUGGGGGGCACGGCACGGCAGGGCAGGGCGGUCCCAGCUCUUGCUCGUUCUUGUCUGCCAGCUCCCCCCGUCCCUCUUCCUCAUCUCUAAAAAACAAAACAAAACAAAACAAACAAAAAAAACAAAAAACAAACAAAAAAAUACCAAAAAAACCAAAAACAAAAAAACAAACAAAAAAAAAAAGCCACCAAAAAAAAAAAAAAAAACUCAUAUUCCAGUGCCUAUCCGUGGGAUCGUUCACGCUCUUUUACAUUAUCCAGAAAAACCAAAAAAUCGUUCCCUCGCUCCUGCCCACCCACUACACACAGGAAGAUGUCCCACUCCUCCGACCCCCUCCCCAUUCGCACCCCGCCUCCAACCUCCCGAUGGCCACACCCAGAAUCAGGGUCCGAGUCGGGGGCGGGGGAUGGCACCAGUCUCAGUGGCUCCCCUGCGGGCACUGGGAUGUACGUAGAUGACGGAGGCCUUCGGGAACGCUGCAGUUGGGGUUGUCCCUCUGCCGGCCACGUCUUGAACCAAAAAAAAAAAAAAAAAAAAGAAAGAAAAAAGAAAAAAAGAAAAGAAAAGAAAGAAAAAGAAAAAAAAAGUACCACAAAAAAUAAAACUCAAAAAAAAAUUUUUUAAAUAGAAAAAUCUAUAGAUAUAUAUAUUUAAGGGAAAGAAGAAGAGAAGUCAGACUCUUAGAAGAAGAUACUGGAGGAGCCAGGAGGGAAGCAUGGGGCCUCCAGAGUGACGGCGAGGGCCUCCUGCCUCCACGCCCUACGGACAGACGAAUAAAUACUUCUUUCUCGUCACAAAUACCUCAUGGACCUCUACGGGGGUUGGGAGGGAGGGGAGGAGAUGGCCUCUGGCCCAGGAAAGACGGGCUGGGGCAGGAGGGAAGGAUGUCAAGGCCGGGCCCCAGGGGGAGCCCCCUUCUGGUCCGGCUGCCGGGCCCUUCCCCUCAACGUCACCCGAACAAAGCUUUAAACGGACGGCGGAAAACCCGGACAGAAAUCCACGGAGACCACGAUUCUGGGGGUGGUCCAGAUCCUCCUCCACGGUGGUCCUUCUUCCUCUCUCUCCUUCCCUUUUCUUUCUCUCCUUCCUCAAACCAAAGUGUUGCUGGGUAGGAAGCGAGCCAUCGGUGUGAGAGCCUACCCUCACUGUCAGGGGCUGGCACUUGGGCUGCACCGGGCAGCAGAGAGAGCUCGGAGAAGAGGCGGCGUCCGCUUGGAUACUCCUCUUCCUGCUGGACGGACACAAGAGGAGAGAUGGCCUGAGGCUCUGGCACGGCCCAGGUGCCUGGGCCCUGGCGGUUUGAUUUCCCUGUCUCCCCUCCUCAGCCCCGUCCCGAUCUGCCUCUGGAGGACCGCAGGCAGCUCGGCCGUGCCAGCCUGCGCCCACCUCUCUGCCUCCCCCCGGACUGUGUGGGCCUGCAGAGCAUCCUCUGCGGGGAUCCCAUCCGGGAAGCCUUGUCCGGGGCGCUGGAGCCCCUCCGGCUGUCCAGGGGCGAGGAGGGUGGCUGCAGAUCCCCGGGCCCUCCCUCGGUGCCAGUCCCCCAGCAGAAUGUACACCUCUCCACUGGACUGGACUCCCCUCUUCUGCCUACGGCCAAGUGUUCCUGCUUUUGUUUCCAAGAGAGACAGGAGGGGACUGGGACCGAGACGAGAAUGUGUGGCUCCCGGGAAGAGGCCUGGGGGAGACGGGGCCAAGGGCUACUGGCCUGGACAGGGAUGACAGAACGCAACAAACAAAAGGGAAAGACAAACCAUGGACAAAAUCGACAGAAGGCGUUGCCGAGAACACUCCAAAUCGAUGGAAUACAACAACGACAACACAAAAACUUUGAUUUUAGACCAAAAAACCAAAACCAAAACCAAACCCGAUCCCCCUGGAUUCACCAUCCUCGCGCCGAUCAUCUCCUUCCCAUCCAUCCCGGGCCUGUGCCCCCCCGGGUACCCCCCUGCCCUGGCUGCUGGGGGCAGCGGGGGACACGGAUGGAUGGGGAACGAGGGACAUGGAGAGCGGGGCCCGGGCACAAGUCCUGCCAAGUGCGGGUGGGAAGGGGCCUCCGCGGGCCCCCUUCCUCAGCUUCACUCAGCUUCCAGGCGAGAGAGGAAACAGAAUUCUCGGGGGAUUUCAAACAAACAAACCAACCCAACCCACAAACUCCCAAGCUUUAACUACAGCUGUGAAACCAAAUAUUUUGGGAAGGGGUAGGGGAGGGAGGGGCAGGUGAGCCCCAGGUCUCCCCCCUGGGCCCCCCCUCCCCCCAGGACUGGAGAUAAGGCACCAAAUACCUCAUAGAACUUUAAUGUUAAGAGAAACCAAAUAUGGCCGGCGUAGGGGGCCGGCUGGGGAGUGGGGGUGGGGGGUGGGCAGCAAGAGGGAGGCCGGGGACCGGGAAGGGGAGCCAGGCCAUGGAAGGCUUGGGGGUGGUAGCUGCACGCUACCCCUGCCCCUUCUCCUGCCCCUUCCACUCCUGUCCCCCUUUGUCCCGACUCCGGGAAGCAAAACUAUCUCAUCCUUUUUAUUUUGUGAUUUGCGCGGGGGGCCUGUCUGUGCCCGUGUGUCUGUGUGUGAGCGAGAGAGAAUCGGGGAGACUGGGGUUUUUUUGUGGGGGGUGGGGG